rnacentral:rRNA from 1 species
GUUAAGCAAGUUUGGGCCUGGUUAGUACUUGGAUGGGAGACCGCCUGGGAAUACCAGGUACUGUAAGCUU